GGUAGGUAGGUAGGUAGGUAGGUAGGUAGGUAAUGCUGAUCUAUGGUAGGUAGGUAGGUAAUGCUGAUCUAUUGUAACUCCCUCUAGGUAGGUAGGUAGGUAAUGCUGAUCUAUUGUAACUCCCUCUAGGUAGGUAGGUAGGUAAUGCUGAUCUAUUGUAACUCCC